rnacentral:ncRNA from 1 species
UUUUUUGAGGGUUUGAUCCUGGCCCAGGAUGAACGCUAGCGGCGUGCUUUAAGCAUGCAAGUGGGACGGUCCGUAGGACUGAACUGUUAACAGUUAACAAAUUAACAAGUUAACAAAUUGACUAAAUAUAUUAUCAUUAGUGAUGAGGACUUUUAGAUACUUGGACUUUACUGUAUACAAAGAAAGUAAAGUUUAUUAUCGAAAAUGUAUCUCUAUUACAAGAAACUUUUCAAGAAUAUAUUGGGAAUUAAAAGAUCAACUUUUAAGAGCGGCGCUUUCUGUAUGUCUUAACAUAGCAGAAGGGUCCGCAAAAUACUCCGACAAGGACUUUAAAAGAUAUUUAGAAAAUUCUUUGGGGUCUAUUAAUGAAUGUUUUGCCUGUAUAGAUAUUGCUUUUGAAAAUGAACUAAUAUCUAACGAAGAUUUUCUGAUUCUGAAAACAAUGUCAGAAUCGGUGGCAAAACAGCUUGGUGGGUUAAUUAAAAAGCUUCGAAAUUGAAAUAUUUUUAGUUAAUUGUUAAUUUUGUUAAUAGUUAAUUUGUUGAAUGUUCUGUCCUGCGGACAGUCGCGAACGGCUGAGUAACACGUAAGAACUUACCCCUUGGCGGGGAAUACCUCCGCGAAAGCGGGGCUAAUACCGCAUGACCUCCUGCUAUGCAGGAGAAAAGGAUUUAACUAUCCACCGAGGGAAAGGCUUGCGACCCAUCAGCUUGUUGGUGAGGUAAUGGCUCACCAAGGCUACGACGGGUAGGGGAUGUGAGAGCAUGUUCCCCCAGAAUGGGACUGAGACACGGCCCAUACACCUACGGGUGGCAGCAACUGGGAAUCGU